CCGACCUUAGCUCAGUUGGUAGAGCGGAGGACUGUAGUUUGAUUAAUCUAAGUUGAAAUCCUUAGGUCGCUGGUUUGAAUCCGGCAGGUCGGA
rfam:Ipomoea nil DNA, scaffold: scaffold1178, cultivar: Tokyo-kokei standard.